CAUGAAGAACGUAGCAAAAUGCGAUAAGUAAUGUGAAUUGCAGAAUUCAGUGAAUCAUCGAAUCUUUGAACGCACAUUGCGCCCGCUGGUAUUCCGGCGGGCAUGCCUGUUCGAGCGUCAUUUCAACCCUCAAACCCCCCGGGUUUGGUGUUGGGGAUCGGCUCUGCCUCACGGCGGUGCCGCCCCCGAAAUACAUUGGCGGUCUCGCUGCAGCCUCCAUUGCGUAGUAGCUAACACCUCGCAACUGGAACGCGGCGCGGCCAUGCCGUAAAACCCCAACUUCUGAAUGUUGACCUCGGAUCAGGUAGGAAUACCCGCUGAACUUAAGCAUAUCAAUAAGCGGAGGA
rnacentral:misc_RNA from 1 species